rnacentral:pre_miRNA from 1 species
UUGUUUGCGGAUGGAGCAUCAUCAAGAUUCACGUAUCAUUCUUAGGGCAAUCGAAUAUUAAUGGUGAAGAUCAUCCUUUUUGCUUCACCAUACAUGUACCAAUAUUUAGUCCCUUGGAUAUAUAUGAGAAUCUUGAUGAUGCUGCAGCGGCAAUAAA